UACGUAGGGUGCAAGCGUUGUCCGGAAUUAUUGGGCGUAAAGGGCUCGUAGGCGGUUUGUCGCGUCGGGUGGGAAAACUCAGGGCUUAACCCUGAGCCUGCUUCCGAUACGGGCAGACUAGAGGUAUGCAGGGGAGAAUGGAAUUCCUGGUGUAGCGGUGAAAUGCGCAGAUAUCAGGAGGAACACCGGUGGCGAAGGCGGUUCUCUGGGCAUUACCUGACGCUGAGGAGCGAAAGUGUGGGGAGCGAACAGG
rnacentral:rRNA from 1 species